rnacentral:rRNA from 1 species
GUAGGGAAUCUUCCGCAAUGGACGAAAGUCUGACGGAGCAACGCCGCGUGAGUGAUGAAGGCUUUCGGGUCGUAAAACUCUGUUGUUAGGGAAGAACAUCCGGGAUGACCUCCCGGUCUGACGGUACCUAACGAGGAAGCCCCGGCUAACUACGUGCCAGCAGCCGCGGUAAUACGUAGGGGGCAAGCGUUGUCCGGAAUUAUUGGGCGUAAAGCGCGCGCAGGCGGCUUCUUAAGUCUGGUGUGAAAGCCCGCAGCUCAACUGCGGAGGGCCACUGGAAACUGGGAAGCUUGAGUGUAGGAGAGGAGAGCGGAAUUCCACGUGUAGCGGUGAAAUGCGUAGAUAUGUGGAGGAACACCCGUGGCGAAAGCGGCUCUCUGGCCUAUAACUGACGCUGAGGCGCGAAAGCGUGGGGAGCAAACAGG